AUUUUUCUUUUUUCUGCAUUGGUAAGAAAACUAUUAACUCAAAGAAAGUAUAUGUAAACAUUUAAACAUCAUAUACUAAUAAUGAACAAGAGUGCAGAUUAAGUAACAAAUAUAUAAAUGAAAACCACCCAAGAUCAGUAAACAAUCUUUAACUAUUACUGUAUUCAUUUUAUAUUAAGGGAGUUCAUCCAGAGGCAGCGAGUGAACUUUGUGUCCUGAAACCAGAAUCAGUUGGGAAGAAUGGAACCAAGUCUACCCAAUUAAAAGGCUUACACAGGUCCCCUUCCAGAUGCUGAUGUCUUGGCUUCUGGUGCAAAACUACGUCAGAUUAAUCCCAAGCCUUUGCUGCCGCAAAUACUUGAGGGCAUGUCAAAAAAGAGUUGUCCCUCUUGGCAGUCCACUUUCAUUCCAGUGUCCCCGUAUAGCUGCAGGUGUUCCUGAUCUUAAUUUCCCCCCACUACCUGUGCUUGGUUUUCAGUUUGGCUGUAAUUUUAAAUUUGGCCAGACGGACGAGUGCAUGAUCCAUCUGAAACAUUCGUUUGGACUAGUGGAGGUAAAAAGCACCUCUGCUGAAAACAUUGCUCAGGUUCCAUUUAUGAAAAUUCAAAGAGGACUAGCCAAACUUAAAGAGACCCAUAAGUACUACUGGCAGGUACAAGGUCAGACUGCAGUGACUGGUCUACACUGGUGUGACUUUGUGACUGACACACAAUCAGAUUUCAUAAUACAGAUGAUCUGGCGAGAUGAUGCCUUCAUAACAUCAAUGAAAGUACUGUUAUAACGUUUAUCUGGAUGUGUAUCUUUCAGUGGUAUGAAUGGACAGAUUCUGUUCAUAUUAUAGUAUGAACCUAAGAUUUAUUUUUACAUUCAUAGUAAAUAUAUACUUUAUGUAGUUGAGUAGUAUGUAGCAUAUUUUGUAGUAGAUCUUUGAUAACAUAUUAGAUACAUCACAAAUUAUAACAAUAAAUAUAUUGUACUUGCUAUUAAUUAGAUAAAUGUACAUACCAAGGUGAAUACUUUUUGUAUGAAAUCUUCUGUAAUGUAUAUGAUAUGCAUAUUCUUUUACUACUUGCGUAUAUUUACAUUUGAUACAUUGUGUGAUAUAACAAAGAAGAUUUUUUUCAUGAGUUAUUAUAAAAAUACUUUUCAUUGUCAACUA